UCUUCGGGCGCUUCGGCAGGCUGCCGUCGUAACAUCUCCUCCUCCUGGGCGCCGCUUCUCCAUGCUCCCCGUAUUUGGCAUCACCCCCUUCCCACAUGUCCGCUGCAAUGGUGGAUGGUGAUGCUGUGGAACCAAUGUGACCAAUCAGAGUGCGCACUUCCCAGGAUGCACUGUGGGAGACGUGGUACUAGAGGAAGGUGGCCACCUGCCAUGAGCGUAUCUGGGCCUCGUCUUGCAGCCUCGGAUGUAGCGGGAGUACAGGUUCAAGCCCACAUGACGCCCUAGGCCAGCUUCACCGCCGGCGCCCCCUGUCUGAGACAGAGUGAAAUCGGCUGGCUAAGUCAGAGCCCCCUCAGAAAAUGGCGCCCUAGGC